rnacentral:lncRNA from 1 species
CGCCGCCGCGCCACCGGCUGCCGCCCGCCGCCGGCCAGCACCACCUCCGGACCCCUCGGAGUGUAAUAUACCGGAUUUAAAUAUAAAAAUAAAAAUAAAAAUAGUAUGAGAUACUAUUUUUAUUGGAUUUGGAGAAGUGAAAUAUGAGUUAGAAGUAUCUUGUGCUGAAAUCGGAAUGAAAACAGAAGAUUUAGAAUUUUCUGUGAGAGACGGGGC